rnacentral:rRNA from 1 species
GAUGAACGCUGACAGAAUGCUUAACACAUGCAAGUCUUUGGCGAAGCUGUGCUUGCACAGCCUAGCCAAGGCGGACGGGUGAGUAACGCGUAAGGGACUUGCCCUGCAGUCAGGGAUAACAGACGGAAACGACUGAUAAGACCUGGUAAAGUCAGGCGGACUCAUGUCCAGCCUGAUGAAAAGGAAUGCUGCAGGAGAGCCUUGCGUCCUAUUAGCUUGUUGGUGGGGUAACGGCCCACCAAGGCGAUGAUAGGUAGCCGGCCUGAGAGGGUGGACGGCCACAAGGGGACUGAGAUACGGCCCUUACUCCUACGGGAGGCAGCAGUGGGGAAUAUUGGACAAUGGGGGCAACCCUGAUCCAGCAAUUCUGUGUGCACGAUGAAGGUCUUCGGAUUGUAAAGUGCUUUCAGCAGGGAAGAAAGAAAUGACGGUACCUGCAGAAGAAGCGACGGCUAAAUACGUGCCAGCAGCCGCGGUAAUACGUAUGUCGCGAGCGUUAUCCGGAAUUAUUGGGCAUAAAGGGCAUCUAGGCGGCCGGAUAAGUCUGGGGUGAAAACUUGCGGCUCAACCGCAAGCCUGCCCUGGAAACUAUGCGGCUAGAGUACUGGAGAGGUGGACGGAACUGCACGAGUAGAGGUGAAAUUCGUAGAUAUGUGCAGGAAUGCCGAUGAUGAAGAUAGUUCACUGGACGGCAACUGACGCUGAAGUGCGAAAGCUAGGGGAGCAAACAGG